UUCUCCAGCAGCCCCCAGGGCUCCCUGCACCCUCCCGCCUUGCACCCUGUCCUCCCUGCAUCAUCCCCCCACCCCCGCCAGCAAGCGCCUGCCUCCCCUCUCUGCCUCUCUCAGGCCCCACAAAACAGCCACCUGCUUGCUCCGGUACUUAAGUCUGUCCUUCCUCCUCCUCUGGCCAGGUGUUUUCCAGACACCACUGAGAUUUCUGGUCCCCGGACAUAAUUCACUCCUUCCAGAGGCUGAGGAAGGCGGUGGCCUGGCCAGGCCUUGUCCCCGGGAUCCCAGCUUGUGAGCACAGUGUCCAAAGGAGGAGCGGCUCUGGUGUCCGGUAGUGGGGUCAGGCCCGGAAGACUUGGGUGGCCCCUCAUGAGAAAAGCACGCUGCGGACCUCUUCCUUCUCACACAGCAACUGGUCCAGGCCCCAGGCCAAGCUCCGAUGACCUUGAUCUCCAGGAAUAAUAUUUUGGCCACAGAAGGGUCUGCAGAAUCACUGCCACAUGGAUGACUUCCAUCCUCCCCAGACACAGCCCAGCCGCCUCCUCCCAGAGAGAGAAACAGAGAGCGACAGAGAGAGUCUGUAUUACCGUGAAUUAAACUCAAGGCUUUCACAUUGAGCUACAUGCCUAGCUCUUUUAAAAUGUUUAAUUUUGGGGGUCUUGGUGAGGGCAGGCCUUGCUAAGUCAAUAAAUUGCCCAGGCUGGGCUUGAACUUAUGAUCCUCUCAGAGUACAAAACUGUCCCACUUUGACCACCUUCUUCCUGUGUGAUGGUCCUGGUCAAGAACAGGAAGCUGGUGUGCCUCAGUUUCCUCUUCUGUGCAAUGCCUCAUACCAGCCUCACAGGCCUCUGGCUGACAGGAGCCAGCAGCAUGGUCCAGGUGUCUGUGUAGCCAGGAAGGAUCCUGUGCGGUCUCCCAGCUCCACGGCACAGGGCCGCUGCAGACCUCAGUGCCGGACUGAGGGCAGCUGUGGCCUUGCCCUCUCUGGCCUCUCU